UACGUAGGAUGCGAGCGUUGUCCGGAAUUAUUGGGCGUAAAGAGCUUGUAGGCGGUUUGUCGCGUCUGCUGUGAAAAUCCGGGGCUCAACCCCGGACUUGCAGUGGGUACGGGCAGACUGGAGUGUGGUAGGGGAGACUGGAAUUCCUGGUGUAGCGGUGGAAUGCGCAGAUAUCAGGAGGAACACCGAUGGCGAAGGCAGGUCUCUGGGCCACUACUGACGCUGAGAAGCGAAAGCAUGGGGAGCGAACAGG
rnacentral:rRNA from 1 species